rnacentral:rRNA from 1 species
AUUGAACGCUGGCGGCAGGCCUAACACAUGCAAGUCGAGCGGAGCGGCUGACGGGGGCGUAAUGCCUAGGAAUCUGCCUGGUCGUGAGGGACGACGUACGGAAACGGACGCUAAUACCGCAACCUAUCAGAUGCACCUAGGUCGGAUUAGCUAGUUGGUGGGGUAAGGGCCUACCAAGGCGACGAUCCGUAACUGGUCUGAGAGGAUGAUCAGUCACACUGGAACUGAGACACGGUCCAGACUCCUACGGGAGGCAGCAGUGGGGAAUAUUGGACAAUGGGCGAAAGCCUGAUCCAGCAAUGCCGCGUGUGUGAAGAAGGUCUUCGGAUUGUAAAGCACUUUAAGUUGGGAGGCGUUACCAACAGAAGAAGCACCGGCUAACUUCGUGCCAGCAGCCGCGGUAAUUC